UCGGGAAUUUUGGGCAAUGGGCGAAAGCCUGACCCAGCAACGCCGCGUGAAGGAUGAAGUAUUUCGGUAUGUAAACUUCGAAAGAAUAGGAAGAAUAAAUGACGGUACUAUUUAUAAGGUCCGGCUAACUACGUGCCAGCAGCCGCGGUAAUACGUAGGGACCAAGCGUUGUUCGGAUUUACUGGGCGUAAAGGGAGCGUAGGCGGAUAGUUUAGUCAGAGGUGAAAGCCCAGGGCUCAACCUUGGAAUUGCCUUUGAUACUGGCUAUCUUGAGUAUGGAAGAGGUAUGUGGAACUCCGAGUGUAGAGGUGAAAUUCGUAGAUAUUCGGAAGAACACCAGUGGCGAAGGCGACAUACUGGUCCAUUACUGACGCUGAGGCUCGAAAGCGUGGGGAGCAAACAGGAUUAGAUACCCCGGUAGUCCCUGAGCGGGCUGGCAAGGCGCAU
rnacentral:rRNA from 1 species